AUUGAACGCUGGCGGCAGGCUUAACACAUGCAAGUCGAGCGAGCGGCGGACGGGUGAGUAAUGUCUGGGAAACUGCCUGAAGGAGGGGGAUAACUACUGGAAACGGUAGCUAAUACCGCAUACCAUCAGAUGUGCUCACAUGGGAUUAGCUAGUAGGUGGGGUAAUGGCUUACCUAGGCGACGCUCCCUAGCUGGUCUGAGAGGAUGACCAGCCAACCUGGAGCUGGACCACGGUCCAGACUCCUACGGGAGGCAGCAGUGGGGAAUGUUGCACAAUGGGCGCAAGCCUGAUGCAGCCAUGCCGCGUGUGUGAAGAAGGCCUUCGGGUUGUAAAGCACUUUCAGCGAGGAAGCGUUACUCACAGAAGAAGCACCGGCUAACUCCGUGCCAGCAGCCGCGGUAAUUC
rnacentral:rRNA from 1 species